rnacentral:rRNA from 1 species
AUUGAACGCUGGCGGCAGGCCUAACACAUGCAAGUCGAGCGGGGUUUUCGGACCUAGCGGCGGACGGGUGAGUAAUGCGUAGGAAGCUACCCGACAGAGGGGGAUACCAGUUGGAAACGACUGUUAAUACCGCAUAAUGUCUACGGACCAAAGUGUGGGACCUUCGGGCCACAUGCUGUCGGAUGCGCCUACGUGGGAUUAGCUAGUUGGUGAGGUAAUGGCUCACCAAGGCGACGAUCCCUAGCUGGUUUGAGAGGAUGAUCAGCCACACUGGAACUGAGACACGGUCCAGACUCCUACGGGAGGCAGCAGUGGGGAAUAUU